rnacentral:rRNA from 1 species
GACGAACCGAGCGAACGUUGUUCGGAAUCACUGGGCGUAAAGGGUGCGUAGGCGGGUCUUUAAGUCAGGGGUGAAAUCCUGGAGCUCAACUCCAGAACUGCCUUUGAUACUGAGGAUCUUGAGUCCGGGAGAGGUGAGUGGAACUGCGAGUGUAGAGGUGAAAUUCGUAGAUAUUCGCAAGAACACCAGUGGCGAAGGCGGCUCACUGGCCCGGUACUGACGCUGAGACGCGAAAGCGUGGGGAGCGAACAGG